GUCCUAGCCGUAAACGAUGGACACUAGGUGUGGGGGAGUCGAAUCCCUCUGUGCCGCAGCUAACGCGUUAAGUGUCCCGCCUGGGGAGUACGGCCGCAAGGCUAAAACUCAAAAGAAUUGACGGGGGCCCGCACAAGCAGCGGAGCAUGUUCUUUAAUUCGAUGCAACGCGAAGAACCUUACCUGGACUUGACAUGGUGCUGCAAGCGCACGGAAACGUGUGACCUUCGAGGGUGCACCACAGAUGCUGCAUGGCUGUCGU
rnacentral:rRNA from 1 species